AUGCCCUCCCUCGCCUCCCUCGGCCACACCAUCACCGAAAAGCUUACCCGUGAAAACUUUCUGGUGUGGAAGGCUCAAGUGCUCCCGCAUGUCAGGGCCGCGGCGAUGACAGGCUAUCUUGACGGCUCGAUCAAGGAGCCCGCCGCUGUCAUCGUCACCGAGAAGGACAACGCCGGGAAGAAGGAGACCACCGAGGCGCCCAACCCAGAACACGCGAUCUGGGUCACUCAAGAUCAGCAGGUGCUUACCUUCUUGCUCGCCUCUCUAUCCCGCGAGGUUCUGAUGCAGGUUUCCAAC
rnacentral:rRNA from 1 species